CCCGGGCCUUGUACACACCGCCCGUCACACCGAUUGGGAGUCGUUUGCUCCAGAAGUGCCUUCGGCCAACCCGCAAGGGAGGUAGGGCCCCAAGGAGUGAACGGUAACUGGGGUG
rnacentral:rRNA from 1 species